rnacentral:rRNA from 1 species
AUACGUAGGGGGCGAGCGUUGUCCGGAAUGAUUGGGCGUAAAGGGCGCGUAGGCGGCCCGGUAAGUCUGGAGUGAAAGUCCUGUUUUUAAGAUGGGAAUUGCUUUGGAUACUGUCGGGCUUGAGUGCAGGAGAGGUAAGUGGAAUUCCCAGUGUAGCGGUGAAAUGCGUAGAGAUUGGGAGGAACACCAGUGGCGAAGGCGACUUACUGGACUGUAACUGACGCUGAGGCGCGAAGGUGUGGGGAGCAAACAGGAUUAGAUGCCCUGGUAGUCCACACUGUAAACGAUGAAUGCUCGGUUUAGGGGGUAUCGACCCCUUCUGUGCCGCAGUCAACACAAUAAGCAUUCCGCCUGGGGAGUUCGGUCGCAAGGUUGAAACUCAAAUGAAUUGACGGGG